GAUGAACGCUGGCGGCGUGCUUAACACAUGCAAGUCGAACGAAGCACCUUGAUUCGAUUCUUCGGAUGAAGAUCUUGGUGACUGAGUGGCGGACGGGUGAGUAACGCGUGGGUAACCUGCCUCAUACAGGGGGAUAACAGUUAGAAAUGACUGCUAAUACCGCAUAAGACCACAGCACCGCAUGGUGCAGGGGUAAAAACUCCGGUGGUAUGAGAUGGACCCGCGUCUGAUUAGGUAGUUGGUGGGGUAACGGCCUACCAAGCCGACGAUCAGUAGCCGACCUGAGAGGGUGACCGGCCACAUUGGGACUGAGACACGGCCCAAACUCCUACGGGAGGCAGCAGUGGGGAAUAUUGCACAAUGGGGGAAACCCUGAUGCAGCGACGCCGCGUGAGCGAUGAAGUAUUUCGGUAUGUAAAGCUCUAUCAGCAGGGAAGAAAAUGACGGUACCUGACAAAGAAGCACCGGCUAAAUACGUG
rnacentral:rRNA from 1 species